rnacentral:rRNA from 1 species
CAGUAGCCGCGGUAAUACGUAGGGUGCAAGCGUUAAUCGGAAUUACUGGGCGUAAGGCGUGCGCAGGCGGCUUGUUAAGACAGAUGUGAAAUCCCCGGGCUCAACCUGGGAACUGCAUUUGUGACUGGCAAGCUAGAGUCUGGCAGAGGGGGGUGGAAUUCCGCGUGUAGCAGUGAAAUGCGUAGAUAUGCGGAGGGACACCGAUGGCGAAGGCAGCCCCCUGGGCCAACACUGACGCUCAUGCACGAAAGCGUGGGGAGCAAACAGGAUUAGAUACCCCCGUAGUCCCUGUCUCUUAUAU